UCAAUCAUUAUUCAUUUGUGUUGUCCUCACUAAGGGGAGGCUGUGAAGCUGCGGAUCCUUAGUGUGACUGUUUGUUUCAUUGGUUGUUUGUUUGAUUUACUUUGUUACACUUUAGAUGUGAGUCGUCUGUAAUCCUUGUCCGCCCCUUCUGUUUAGGUGCUGAGAGCCGAAAGUGGGAGCAGU